GCGAUAGGCUGUCGGAGAAUAACAAGGAGCCGGAACGGAAACCGAGACAGGAGCUCCCGGCGGCGGCCGUGAGGAAAAGCCGCUCCCCGUUGCGAGGAAUGUGAUCGUUGGAAUCCAUGCUGUGGGCCUGCAGAACCUUUUCUUCACUCACACAGCAAGCUGAGAUUCUCACAGGAGAGUAACCGACGCAUAUGAAAGCAAUCGAAGGAGCGCGUUCGUCAAGGCGGAAAACAGAAACGGCUUGAGGAAGGGAAAAUAUAUUUUUGAGUAUGUGAGGGACGGCCAUGGAAGCGGUGAUCACCAUGGAGGCAGAUUCCAGUGGGAAUCAGGAUCUGAGCGAAGAUUCCAGUGGGAAUCAGGAUCUG